CCUACGGGUGGCAGCAGUGAGGAAUAUUGGUCAAUGGGCGCGAGCCUGAACCAGCCAAGCCGCGUGAGGGAAGACGGUCCUGCGGAUCGUAAACCUCUUUUGUCAGGGAGCAAAGGCGGCGACGAGUCGCAGGCUGAGGGUACCUGAAGAAAAAGCAUCGGCUAACUCCGUGCCAGCAGCCGCGGUAAUACGGAGGAUGCGAGCGUUAUCCGGAUUUAUUGGGUUUAAAGGGUGCGCAGGCGGCAGGUCAAGUCAGCGGUAAAAGCGCGGGGCUCAACCUCGUCGCGCCGUUGAAACUGGGUGGCUGGAGUGGGUGAGAGGGACGUGGAAUGCGAGGUGUAGCGGUGAAAUGCAUAGAUAUCGCGCAGAACACCGAUUGCGAAGGCAGCAUACCGGCGCCCAACUGACGCUCAUGCACGAAAGCGUGGGUAUCGAACAGGAUUAGAUACCCGAGUAGUC
rnacentral:rRNA from 1 species